rnacentral:lncRNA from 1 species
AUAUAGUGGAAAGCUACUUUGUUUUUUGAGGUGGGAUAUUUGUUAUGGACUAGGGUUUGGACAGUUAGAAACUCUUCAUUGGUUAAAGGGUCAAGUGGAUGUUGGCGCAAUGGCGGCUUUACAGAGACCACUGCUUGGAAGUAGAGGAGUGUAAGAACUGAGAAAAGAGCUAGUUUCAUGGUGGUGGAAGCCACUGUGAGCUAUAGCUAGCUUCACUGGCUUGAUGUAUGUUUGUGUAUGUGAAAUGGAAGCUCCCCAAGGUGCCCUUAAAUAACAGAUUGCAAACACUAUCUCCAAGUGUAUGUUUGGAGUAUAGUGUCAUGUAAUAUGAUCAGAUAUGAUAACAUGUGAUUUUUUUAAUAGAUUACAUAUUUCGGAUUCCACUUGUGUAACAUUGACCAUUUUAUGGUAUAUAACAUUGCCCAAUCAGGGUGUGCCACGUGGCACCUUUUUUUAAAAUAAAAAAAAAAUCAAAUUAGAAAACACUUGAGAGUAGAACUGCAAUAGAAAACACGCGCCAUUUCUUUCAACUUCCUCCUUCCACUUCAAAACAAACUCACUCACCAUCAUCAUCAGUUUUCCGUCCACCGUCGAUCGCCGCUGCUGCCUCCGCCGCCGUCAACCUGCUAUGAAUGCGUCAUCAUAAGGUUUUUUUCUUUUUUCUUUUUCUUUAGAAUGAUUGAAUGUUCAUAGAAAUGAGAUUAACCCAUAAAAAAAACAAAUUUUCUAUGAAAAUAGAGAAUAACAACACUUGAUCAAGAAGAUAAAAUAAUCGUUUUUGAACUAGUUUCAAUUUAUUAGGAUUUGAUUUUAGGAAAUUUAGGGUUUUAUUUAAGGAUGUAUAGAACCCAUUGCAUCCAUAAACUCUGUUUCUUUUUUUAAAAAAGCUUGACUCAUGUUGUUGUUGUUUUGAAAUAGGCAAACGGGAUUGAUUGACCCUUGAAUUUUUUUGUUCUUAUCAUUCAUUCUGUUUUAAUGUUUUCUUUCUUAAUGUUUUGUAUGAAUUAUUGUUUAUGCCUUAUGUUCUUUAUUUUAGUUUUAGGUUCCUUGAAUAGUUUGAUCAAAUAUGGCAUCUUCAGAUGUUGAUUGGAAACCAAAGAUUGGAAUGAAAGAUUGGAAACCAAAGAUUUUUAGAUUCAGUGAUACUCCCUCCGUCCUAAAUUAUAAGAAAAAAACCAAAAAUCACACUUAUUAAGAAAACUAAAGCAUAAGAAUUUGUAGCAUAGUUUUGUGUUUUCUUUGGAAUAAGUUUCAUGGGAAGAUGUAAAAACAAUUUUCAUUGGCAAUUGGUUAUGAAAAAAAUAAAAGAGAGAAAAUUAAAUGUAAUUUGCAUUUAAUUUCAUGAGAAUAAGAAAAAGUUUUUAUUGGAAAAGAUGAUUUUUUAAAAAACAAGAUUAAAUAGAAUAAAAGUUUGUCUUUUAUGCUUAUAUUUUGGGACAAAGAAAAUGAGUUUUUUUUACUUAUAUUUCAAGACGGAGGGAGUACUUGUUUAUGUUGCCUCGCAGUAUUUAGUGAAUGAAGUAUUCUGAACAUUAGUAAUUAAAUUUCAUGGCAGCAUUGGUGCAAUUUUAGUCUCAUUCACUUGCAAUAAAAGCUUUUACUUCCUUUUAAUUAGAUUCCACCAUAUGAUUCACUGAUGCACUUUUCUUUUAUACUGCCAUGAUUUUACAUGUAUCUUAGUUUAAUUUUACAUAAUCAUUUUAGGUUAAAGAAUUAACAAGUCAUAUGGUUGAUGGAGUAUCUUGUUCUGCACCUCCAACUUAUGCGCCCCCACAAGCACAUGAGGAUCAAUUCAAUUACACAGCCAUGCUGAUGGUAAUUUCAAAAACAAAUUCAUAAGGAACUAUACAUACAUUUAACAUGUAUCGUGAUGCUAAUUUUUAAGUUGUUAUUAAUGUAGGCACCUCUUGACGAUACAAAUAUUGGAGCAUUGUAUUGAUUGACCUCUAAUCUACAUCAAAAGAAAUGGAGUUGUUGCUUGUUUCAACGGGCUGUUCUCAUCUGUUUUUCUGGUUCGGCAUGUUGCAGGUUGUUUUCUGCUGUUCAGGCACGGGUUUUUCUGGUUCGGCAUGUUGCAGGUUGUUUUUUGGAGCAUGGGAACUGUGUUUUUGCUAUUAAAACCACUUAGUAGUGUUAUUUUGGCUUCUGUUAAUGUGCUGUCUUAGGAUUGUGCAGCCACGCCUCUGCUAAGUUGUUAUAGCCAGGGGCGGAGCUAUAUGUCUUUUAGGGGAUGCAAGUGAACCCCCUGAACCUAUAAUAUUACACAGAUUAUUCCCGUUUAAUACAAUUUGAACCCCCUGUAUUUAUUGUAUUGCACCCCAUGCCCAUCUCAAAGAUAUAUUUUUCUCUUCAAGUUUAGUUUACUUUUAUACUUCACGUGAGGCUGUGAUUAUGUUUAUGAUCAAUAACUGUCUAUUAUUGAUGAUAUUCACCUUCUAAAUUUUAUAAGUUAGUUGAUAGGUAGGUAAUAAAUGAUCCUUGAUAAAAUUAGUAGUUGUUGUUAAACUUGUUAAUAAGUUAACUAAGAGCUUAAAAGAUAACAAAUUUAAUUUGUAGUGGUUGAUAAAAUUAACAGUUGAGCUUAUAAACUCGCGAUUUAAAUAGCUUAUAAAAACGUUAUAAGUUAGUAAAAAUUGUUAUGAGCUCGUCAGAAAAAAUUGUUAUUAAAUAAGUCUAAUUUGAUCAUAGGAGCUCAUAAGCUAUUAAAAAAAAAAAACAGUUCGGUGCAUUAAAGCUCACACAUACGUAGGAAAGUUGACCUCAUAAGUUAUAAAAAAUUGUCAAAAAAAAAAAAAAGAAGCUAUAAAGCUAAUGAGGUCACGUGACAACAACUUUUCUAUUGCAUCGAAGCUUCCCACAUAAGCUAUAAAGCUGAAAAUUGACCUUAACAAAAUGAGUCAUAAUCCCGCACCCCUGAUAUAGGGUCCUGACUACGUCACUGGUUAUAGCAUCAGAUUUAGUUCCCCAUGGUGGGUAUUUUUUGGGGUUUGUCCCAUUUUUUUCCUACUGAAUUAUAGCAGUAGUGUUGUUAUAGCAGCCUCUGCCAUACAUUGACUUUGUAUUUUGAAUGGAAUAUACAAUAUUGUGCUAGCCUAAUUGUGUUAUAACAACCUCUGUCAUUUGUUCGUUUCUAUUUAUGUGUUUUUUUUGCUUGUUGAGUUGUUUCAAUUGCACAUCAAUAUUGAAUUGAAUAUUGGUUUCCAUUGAUGUCUUUGUAACAUUACACUUCAUCAUAUUGAACAUUUUUAGCACCUCAUUUACAUAAUUUCUUUCAUGUGGAAUGGUUUCCCUUUCGGCUUUCACAAGUUUCCUUCCAAGAAAGUAUGACAAUUAUUCUAUAUUAGCAUUUCAAACUCAGACUUCACACAUUUUCAAGCCAUAGGUACAUGCUUCAAGCCAUAAAGAGCAUUCUUCAUAACAGAUGCUCAGUUUCACGCAGACUAAUAGCAGCAUAUUGCGUUUUUCCGCUUAUGCAUUUUCACAACAGAUGUUCAGUUUCACAUAUUUUCAAUUUCACCAUAGCAUAGUAACAAUAGCAAUUCGUUUUUGAGAUUUCACUGGUUUCUACUCACGUGUUUUCUAAUUCUCGUUUAAUUGAUUUUUUUCUUAAAAGGUGUGCCACGUGGCACACCCUGAUUGGGCAAUGUUAUAUACCAUGAAAUGGCCAAUGUUGCACAAGUGGAACCCACAUAUUUCUAUGUACUAAGAAUAUGUUAGCCACAUUUGCUUUUAAACAAUUACUCCAUCCGUUUUAAAAUAUAAGCAAAAUUCAUUUUUUAGGUUCAUUCAUUUAAUGAUGUAUGUGGUUCAUAUAUGGACCACAUACAUCAUUAAAUUAAUGAACCUAAAAAAUGAAUUUUGCUUAUAUUUUGAAACGGAGGGAGUACUUUUUUAUUACAUGAAAUCAAUGUAUAUCCUAUCGUUUUAAAUAAGUUAUGUUUUUUAAGUGUAGACUCAAAAUGAUUUAAACCAAUAAAAGAAUGAUUAUUAAAUAAAAUGUUGAAUAACAAUUUGGGGGACAACUUAUUUGACAACCAAAAUAUCCAAAGAAAAAUAGGUAUUGACACAAAUAUCAAAGCAAAAGAGAGAGAAAGUAAAAACACAAUAUGUAAGUAUGAGAGAAAAAUUUGUUACAAAAUAACCGUACAAAUAUCAUUUCUCUUUCUCUUUUCUUAUAGUUUUCUGCUCGUAUUAAAUCACGUGGUUUUUUUUUUGUUGAACAACGACAACCAUAUCCUUUCCCUCUAAAUGGAUUAUUCACUUAAUUUUUUGUCACGUAAUUUUGAAAUAAAUUCUUUACUUGAUACUUAAAUUUUUUUAAAUUAACUUUAUAUAUAAUAUAUAGCAUUUAUAUUUAUAAAGAAACAUCAAAAUAUUAUUUUUACUAAUUCUUAAUUUUUUAACUAAAUUAAUGACCAAUUUUAGAUAACAAAAAAAUUAUCUGCCACCAAUUUUUGUUGUUGGUAAAUUUAUUAAGAAAAUAAAAAAGAAAUUUCAUAUAUUAUUUGCUUAGUUGGGAUUUCACCGGUUUCUUUUAGCAAACACGUGACAAACUCAAUUAUUUGUCCCGUUAGUGAAGCCUACAACACACAUGUUGGUGUGAACUCAUAUAGGUCCAUACAUUAGAUUGUAAAAUACUAAUGACUAGUAACCAUCUUCGAGCUGGUUUGUACUAUGUACUGUUUAGUAGUCUCAUCGGAGUGAAAACUCAUAUAGGUCCAUACAUUAGAUUGUAAAUACUAACAAAUCACAAAUAUAAUUUUAUCUUGGAAAUGUGCAUUCAACAUAUGAUUUUAAUAGCAAAACACUGAGGUACGUGUGCAUGCAUGCAAUACAAGAUUUGAUUUGCCUUUUAGUGUCAGUCUAGUGAGCAGGUUUAUGCAUAACCCUAGAGUGUCAGUCUACUGAGCUACCAAUUGAGUGAGUUCGAGAUCAAUACUAUUGAAUUGAAUGCACCAUGUUCUAACAUUUGUAAGUUGUAGUAGUAUUUACAAACUUUAAUUUCCUAUGGUUGCUCAACCGAUCAUAAUCAUGUCAAUAUCAUACCUUUCCACUUUAGUAGUAGAUCACUCCCAACAAUAAAAACAGAUAGUGCAGUUUAUCAAGGUAUAAUAACAAAAAUCAGCUUGCAAAAUAAAUCUUCCAUCCAUUUAUUCAUUCAUUCAUUCAACAUGUAACAAACAAAUAAACAAACAACAUUUAUUCAUGGGUUCCACAAUAAAUACAAAUAAAUUGCACAGGCUAGCUAGUUUUAAUUGGAGCAACCCCAGGCCAUGGAACAUCUUUUGGAGAAAGUAUUUUAAGAACAUGAUUCCUCUCAAAGAAAUUAGAUGGCCUCAACUCAAAUCGAGUGCUCAAUAGUGGCAUUAUGGGGAAAUCUUUCUGUGCUGGAACAUGAUGAAUUCCAACUACAUGCCACAUCACAAUGUCCUUGUUCACAAUGUCUCUAUUCCUGCAAAAAUUCCAAAUUAAUUAGUAUAAUAAUAAUUGCAAGUUCACCUGGGCCAAGCUCAAUUGUGAUUUUUGCAUGAUAGUGCUAUUUGCAUGGUGAGUUUUUGCAUGGUCCAAUUGUAAAAUUUCCCAAUGUUAGGCUCAUAUAUCUUUACCAACUGGAAUCUGUAAUUUCCUGGUUCAGUGGUAUCUAACCGAUUAUGUACAUCAAUAUUUUAUUUUUUUACACAAAUGUCAACAAAUAAAAAAUGGAACAAAAUUCCUCUUUUAGAAGGAAAAUAUAGCGUCAGUUUUCAAACUAAAUAAUUCUUUGUCAAUAAUAUAUAUUUAUAUAAACUGAAAAAAAUAUUACUUUUUUUUUCUCGCUAAGACAUAAAAUCCACAUAAAUUAAUCCCCGUGAGCUUAGCUCAGUUGGUAGGGAUAUUGCAUUUUAUAGCAGGGGCUGGGGUUCGAACCCCGGACACUCCAUUUCUCCACAAUUAAAUUGUGUGAGCUCUAGCCAUUAUGGCUACUUGACAAAAAAAAAUCCACAUAAAUUAGUUAUACAAUAGAUUUUUCGUCCCGAAAAAUAUAGUGAAUUUUAAUUUUAAUUUCUAAAAGACAGCAAAAUAUUUUUAUCCUAACAAAAAGUUUUUUUUUUUUUUUGUUUUUAGGUCAAUUUAUGUUCAUAUUAAUGUCAAGAUUAUCACUCUUUUAUGUUCAAGAUGUAUCCACGUAUGUCUAUUUAUUAUGUUCAACAUUUGUAUGUCCGUAUUAUGCUAAAGAAAUGUCAAACACGUGUCAAGAUUAUAUUUAUGAAGGAAAAAUAAACAAAACGAUUUUUUUUUUAGAAUGAAAAUAUUUUGUUUUAAUUUUUUAGAAUAGAAUCAAAAUUGCUUAUAUUUUUAGAGACAAAAAACUUAUUUAACCCUUAAUAAUAUUUAUGAAAGACACCUAGAAAAAUAUUUAUGAAAGAUACAACAAACAAUAUUGUUUGUGUUAGCCCUUCAGUUCUUGGGGAAAGAGGGCUCUAAUAAUCCGAAGUUUAGACAAAUGUAAGUAAAGUCUGAUCUAAAAUUGUUGAUAUACCCAGAAAUCAAAUUUAAAUUCUUUUAUUAUUAACCACUUGAAUUCAAUUACUUGAUUUUUUCUUUCAACUCAAAAUAAUAAAUAAAAGCUAACAGUGUUAGUAUUGAAAAAGUCAAAACAUAAUUCAAUAACCACAAAUUCAAUUAUAAAUGUGCGAUAUUUCAAUUUUAUAUUUUUAAAUCUAUAUAAAUUGUGCGUUAAAACAAAUGCAUAUAAAUUUAGGUCACUUAAUAUUUAAACCUUACAAGUUACCUCUUUCAAAAACAAAAAUAAAAAAACCUUACAAAUUACAAGUCAAUAAGACAAAACAAUCCUAGCCAUCCCUAUUAAUUUAUAUUAAAUAAGUGGUUGAGUUUAGAUGAGUCUAAGAUGGAGAAAUUUUACAAUUUCCCCAUACUAAACGUCGCCCUAUCCGCAUAUACAUACAUAAAUUUUGAAAAAUCAAUAAAGUUAUUUGAGUCCAAGGACAUAACAAUUGACAAGUCAAGUGGGGUAUGUCGCCAGUUGACAGUUGUCGUCUUGGCCUUAUGCUAAAUAUAGUAAUACACACGUGUUUUUUCAGUUUAAAUAAAAAUAAUAAUACACGUGAAGUGGGACCUUUUGUUUUGUUGAAAUUAAACCAAAAGAGACUUCUAAAUUCAAAUCGUUUAGAUAAAUUUCUUAGCCGUCUAGCAUAUUUUUUUGUUUGUUACAAAGCUGAAAUCAAACAACAAAGGGAGGACAGAGAGAAAAACGACUAAAUAGUCAAUUAUCCCUUUAAAAUUGUAAGUUUCGUCAAUUAUUCUUCUGAAAUUGCACAACGUUAAUCAAUUUACCCCAUCCGUCAAAUUUUUCUGUUAGUAAACAUGACGUUUUGCAAAUACCCCUUAAGUUUUACACUUAUGUACAAAAUGCCUCCCGAACUUGAAAAUUUAUAUAUUUUUUUCUUUAUCCUUAACUCAAAGAUAUUAAAUACAAGCAAUUAACACUUAACUUUAAUACUUUACAUGACUCUUUCAUUCUUAAAGGGAUCUGUUAUUUUAUUUUGUUUAUGUUAUGUCAUUUGGUUGUUCAAUUCUCCAUAAAUUAUGACUUAUUUAGAUAGAGACACGCCAAUUCACAACAAAGUAAGUAAGCUAGAGACACUCAUUCCUCAUGACUAAUUAAUUCUAACAUUUUCUUAAGAUAAGUUUGAAUAAAAUUAUUUUAUCUUAAAAAUUGAACUAAACAUGCAUUUUGCUAAAGUAAUAUGAAGUUAUUAAUUAUGCGUUAUUUUUAGAGGAUAUAUUCUUAUUUUAAGCUUAAAUAUUAAAGUUAACCGUUAAUUGUUUGUCUUUAAUAUCUUUUGAAUCAAGAUAAGAAAAAAAUAUAUAAAUUUUUAAGUUUGGGGAGCAUUUUGCACAUAAGUGCAAAACUUCAGGGGGUGUAUUUGCAAAACUUCAUGUUCACUGACAGAAGAAUUUGACGAAGGGGAUAAAUUGAUUAACGUUGUGCAAUUUCAGGGGGGUAAUUGACGUUUUAUUAAUUUCAAAGGGGUAAUUGACGAAACUUACAAUUUCAGGAGGGUAAUUGACUAUUUACUCAAAGAAAAACAGAUAAAAAAGCAACUCAAGCUCUUGAGAAGAUAGUUCCCAUAGCGUCAUUCCUAAGUAUGUCGAGGAGAUCAUGAGGAGGGGACGGAUGGGCAAAGAAAUCAGAAUUGGAUGUAGCUCCUAUAAAUCUAACAUGUUAGUACAAAACUUAAAUUCUAAAUUUAACAUUUAAUAUGUCAUAUGCUUAUUUUGUAAAGGUGAGUUUUAACUUUUCAAAAGUUUUAUGUGACUUUUUUUUUUACAAAUAAAAUUUGAUAUGACUUGUUAAUUGAUUUAAAAAUCUUUUUAAAAUCAAUGUAUUUGAACAUUACUAUUAGGAUUGGGAAUAGGCUAGGUCGGCCUACAGGGGUCUAUGGCCUGGCCUGUUUAAGUCUGGCCUGAUCUAUUUAUUAAAAAGGCUAGACUUAGGCUUUUUAAAAAGUCUAUUUAAGUAAAUAGGUCAGACUUAUGCUAUCAAAAAAGCCUAUGAAGCCUAAUAGGCCGGCCUGUUUAUGCAUGUUAGGCUUCAUAGUGGACUUUUAAAAUAGACUUUAAAGCUUUAUAGUGAAAUAGGCUUUUAAGGCCUUAUAGUAGUGAUAGACAAGUCUUACACUGAAAUAGGUUUUGAGGCCUAUUAAGCCUAUUUAAAAGUAGAUAAAAUGAAAUGUUUAGUGACUUUAAUAGUAAGUAGGCCUGUAAAUAGGCUUUCAGGCCAAACCAGACUUUUAAAUAGGACAGACCAGGCCAAAAAAAUAGGCCUAUGAAAGGUCAUAGGCCAGGCUCAGGCCUGCAAAUUUUUUCGUUGGCCAGGCUCAGGCCUAUCAAAGCCUGGCCUGGCCUAUUCCCAACCCUAAUUACUACAUCCGUCCUUAAUUAUAUGACAAUUUUGUCAAAAUUCUCGGACUUAAGAAAGUUGAUGGUAAUAUUAAAUUUGUAUAUAAUUAUUAUAGUUUUUACAAUUUUAUCCUUAAGAGAAAGAGUUAGUUUAUGUUUUCAACAUAAUAUUUAUUGUUGAUUGAAGAAAAAGAUGUAAAAUAAAUAAGGGUAUGUUGGUAAAGAAAUAACUAAUGUAAUUGAAAAUAUCAAUUGUAUCUUAUAAAAAGGGACCAAAUUUUUAUAUCAAAAGAGUCUUAAAACGGGGUAGUAUAUGUUUAAAUUGAUUAACAAACUAAUAAACCAAUAAAACAAUGAGAUUAAUUCCCUUUUGUUAUUUAACAAGACAUUUUAGAGAUUGUUAUUUUACAAGACAUUUUAGAGAAUUUGAAUAUAUAUAUAUAUAUAUAUAUAUAUAUUUGUGUGUGUGUUGUUUGGCAUAUAAGCCCAAAAGAUUUAUUUAAUAAGCCUAAAAGAUAUUUUAUAAAUCAUUGCUUGACAUUUUUAAUUAAGGGUCUUGUUAACUUGUAUUUUUAUGAAACAUGUUUUUUUUGUUACACUUUUAUGAAACAUGUUAAGGAUUCCAUAAAUGAUAAAUAUUUAUUAAAAAAUAUUAAUUUUCAAUCUUUAGAAGAAUAAAUAGAAACAAUUUCCUAAACAAAUAUUUUUAUUAGGUUCUUUAACAUGUGCUUUAAGAGCAUAAAUUACCAUUUCCCUUUAACAAAGGGGAAUGCUAAGGACAAUUGUUAAGAUUAAAGUAAAAACUUUAUAUUUAGAAUUGUAUAACAAGACAAUGAAACACAAAAAAGCAACUUUUUUAACAAAAAAAUUAUCAAUUAUUUCUACUUUUUAACCUUUAACAAGUGUCUUAGCAUAACCAUUUAACUGAAUAAACUUCUAAAAAGGUAUUGGUUAUUUUAUUUAAAAAAAAGUGAAAGAAGAAUACGAAGAGUUUUUUUAAGGAAAAUAAUUAUGAUUAAAAGGAAAAUGUAGAAUAAUAUAUUUAAGAAAAAUGUUAAUGAUUAUCUCCAACACUCUUUUUUUUUUAUGGUGGCCGGGGAUUGAACCCCGAACCUUACAUAUAUUAUUCAUUGUCCUUAGGGCUGACAAUGAACCGAACCAACUCGAAAAUAGUUCGAAACUCGAUUUGGUUAUUGAUUUUUUUGAACUUGAUUCAUGAACCAAAUGAGUCGAACUUGAGUCGAAAAUUAAGCUCGUCAAAUAAAUGAGCCGAACUUGAGCUAUGAAUAGUUCGACUCGUUUGGUUCACGAGACAACUCGAUAUAUAUAUAUAUAUAUAUGUUUGCUAAAUCAAUUACAAUAAUUUUAAAUGAAAUGUUAUUUCUACCUUUUUUGUCAAAGUUUUUUAUCAUACCACUUUAACAAUAUAAACUANAGAGAGAGAGAGAGAGAGAGAGAGAGAGUGGAAGGAUCAAAUUACACUAACGUAAUGUUACACCGCUCAAUAUCGUUUUACCCAAUUAAUAUUUUCAAAAUUUGACAUUUAGAUUGUAAGUUUAUAUCAUUCUCUCAAAAAAAAAAGUUUAUAUCAUAUAAUCGUCCAUGUAAAUUUUUAUACAAAUCUAAAAUCAUUUGAAAUGUUAUUGAGACUCAUCAAAAUUAACGGUUUAUGGGUUUUUAUAGAACAUCGUUAAUCUUGUUGAUUAUCAAAAACAUAUCAAAUGAUUUUAGAUUUGUAUGAAAUUUUACAUGAAUCAUCUAUGUGAUAUAAAAUUACAAUCUAAUGGUUAAAUUUUAAAAAUAUUAAUCGAGUAAAACGAUAUUGAGCGGUGUAACAUUACGUUGAUGUAAUUUGAUCCCUCCUGAUAUAUAUAUAUGUUUGCUAAAUUAAUUACAAUAAUUUAAAAUGAAAUAUUAUUUCUACUUUUUUGUCAAAGUUUUUUUUUAGAGGCCUGAUGUCAAAGUUUUUUAUUAUACCACUUUAACAAUAUAAACUAAAAAGUCCACUUAAGUAAAAACAAUGUUAAUGCUCACAACGAUAAUUUAGAUAGAGAAGUGUAUGACAUAAUCCAUGUACACUUGAUAGAUUUAAGCUUGUUUGUCCAGAAAAAGUUAAGCGCACUUUCAUGUCCCACAUCGGUUGUUUUAUGAUCGAUACAAAGCAAGUGAUCUAUAAAAAGAGGCGUGCACAGUGAUGCAAAAUGGCAAUGGAAUUACAGGAAUAUUAAUUAAUUAAUUUAGUUAAUAAUGUUGUUAUCCAUUUACUUAAGUUGUUUUUAGUCAAUUAUCUGGUUUAUGAGUUGUUUUUGUGCUCAUUUAAACCAUAGUCUUCUUUGUCUCUCUCUUGGUUCAUCGAGCUAUUGAGCUGCACCGAGUUGUUCGCGAGCUUGAAUCGAGUGCGAGCUUGAAAAAAAGUUUGUGACGAUUUUGAAUCAAGUUAAUUUUUAUCGAAUCGAGCCGAGCUGAGCUAAGUUCGACUCAGCUCGACUCAUUUCCAGCCAUAGUCCUUGCCAACUGAGCUAAGCUCACGAGCACAAUCUCCAACACUCGGUGCAUUUAAAAUGGUAAAAUUUUAUGAAAAUUUGUUAUUUAUUGCAUUGAAAAUUAAAGUCUUUAACUUUUUAAAAUAUAAUUUUUUAAUUAAAAAUUCUUACAAAUAGGUAAGAUGUACUCAUUAUCAAGACUCUAUAUUCCCUCAAAAAAAAAAAAUCAAGACUCUAUAUUUUCUUUAAAAAUAAAUAAAUCAAAACUCUACAUUUAAAUACUACAGUUACAUAGCCUUAAUAAAACCCAGAUCGUUUAUGUGUUGGCAGACGAUUCAUACGCCUACCUUGAUACUCUAACCACUCACUCUGCAUUUUUUUUUGCAGUUCGGUUUCGUAUCCACACGUGGGUUCGCUGGGCUGUCCGUAGUAGUGUUGUUUAUAAUUGUUUUUUCUUCCACUUGUGUACUAUUUUGUUGUAUCACCCUUUAGGGUUUGAGUUGUGGUUAUCUAGGUCAAGUUCAUGCCCCCAAUCAUGUAUUUCCUUUUUAUUUUAAUUCAAUUUCUUCUUUGCUUAAAAAAAAACAUAAUUUAAAAGGAAAAAAAAACAUUUACCAAGAGACGAUACCUAAUUACACACCAUUCCAGUGGCCCGCUUGGUAAACUCCCUCGCGGAUUGGGGAUGAAAUCACAUGUUUAUGAAGAACCAUAUCUUUUUUUUGAACAAGGAAAAAUGGAAUAUUUUAGAAACACAAAAGGAUCCUCAAGCACAAGGGGUGCUCAAGAAUCCUCAAAAGUACAAAGUACACAAUACAGAGUCCAAAAAACGAGUACACAAAAACAAGCUAACAAAUGGCCAAACAAACAAAAGGGCUAGAACACCACAUAUGAAAAUUAGGCUGAAUGGAAAUAUUAGUAGCCUUCAUCCACCAGAAAGAAUGCAAUUUAACUUUCUCUACCAACUGAUGGAUGGUACUCUCCUUGUUUUUGAAGACCCGACUGUUUCUUUCAUUCCAUAUAACGUACACAUAACACAUCCAAAUAAGCUGCAUAAAAGAUCAACAAGCAUGCGAUCCACCUGCUGAAUAAACAAACUAAUAAAAAUGAGCUGACACACCAAACGGUUUCGGCUGUAGAUACGCCUAGCCAAUACCGAAUCUUGCCCCACAAAGCUGGAAAAAAUGGAAACGAAAGUAACAAAUGUUGAUUAGCGUGAGGGAGAAAACCACGAAGUAACAAAUUAUCCUUCGUAGGUAACCUAUUUCGAAGAAGCCGCUACACUAGAAUAGACACCUUCAAAGGAACCUGUAUAUGCCAAAUUAAAUCAGAAAACGUCUGGUGUCUGAACGACCUGAUUGAUAAGCAUUUGGUAAACACCACGGACUGAGUAACCACUCGACGGAUCAAGCCUGCACAGCCACCUAUAUGUAGAAUUUUGCUGCAAAGAAAUGUCAAAUAAUAAAAUCCUACACUCCCCUAACAACUUCUCCUUCCAAGCCCACAACUGCCGGCGCCAUUGCCACCCCGACCCACCUUCCUCACAGCCCAACAAAAUCAUCUCCGCCAUUGAAAUAGACUUAUGCAAAGCUAAGUCGAAGAGACGUUUAAACUGCACACACAAAGGCGGAGAUCCCACCCAAUGCACCACCUACUUCACCUAACCCAUCUCGAAUACUCGCUACCUCCUUCCACCACAAAGAACCACUCCGGCACCCAAUCUCCAACCUCCCAUCCACCUCACCGUAACGAGUUGUCAACACCCUAUACCACAUACCUCCUCUUUCAACUAAUAGCCUCCAACACAACUUACCUAAUAGAGCAAUAUUAAACUCUCUCAUCCUCCUCAGCCCCAAACCUCCAUAAUCUUUUAAUAAACAAAUAUUAUUCCAACCAACCCAUGAAACUUUUCUAAUAUCCUCACUCCCACCCCAAAAAAAUUAUAAAUAAAGAUUCAAGGGCAUAAAUUAUAUCUGAUGGGGCUUUGAAGAAGGAAAGAGCACACACAGGAAGAGAGGACAUAACAGACUUGAGGAGAACAAGAUGACCACCAAAUGAAAGAAAUUUACUUCGCCAACCAGAUAGUCUCUUUUUAAUUCUUAAUGAAUAUGGUUUCCAAAAUAACAAGCACGUCGGAUCACCCCCAAUCGGGAGACCCAAAUACACAAAAGGAGCCUUCUCCACGUUGCAACUCAGUACUGACGCUGCUUCAUUCAACAAAAGAACCAUAUUUUAUCUUCCAAUCUUUUUUAAAAAAGAAAAUCUUAUCUUCCAAUAUUUAAAAAAAAAAAAACUUAUCAUCCAAGAAAACUAUUAAUUUUUGGGUUUUUUUUAUAUGCAUUAUUUUAUUACAAAAUCUGUUUUCAACACAGAAAUUGUUUAUAUGGUAAACACUCCACAUCACCUGCAUUUAAUUGUGAUAUCACUGAUCUAUACAUUUUUCGAUCAUUAUUAUAAGUAAAAUUUAACAUUUUAAGUUUAUUCAAUAAAUGAUGUAUGCGGUCUAUAUUAAAGACCACAUAUAUUAUUUAUUGAAUGAAUCUAAGAUGUCAAUUUUUACUUAUAAUGGUGACCAAAUGAUGUAAUCAUUUAUAUAUAAAACGAGUAUUGUUGUUCACACAUUUGGUUUGGCUGAGAAACACGAGUAAUUUAUCCAAAUACCUUUCGGCAGUUAACUGUCGAAAUUUUAAAGAACCGGCUGCAGUUAACUGCCGAGGAAAAUUUCAGCAGUUAACUGCCGAGGAAUUUCAAACCUGAAAUUAAAUAAGAAAAUACACCUAAAUUUUUCCUUAAUUAAAUUUAAUUCUUUACUACAUGAUUCUUUUUAUAACGUUGUUGAUUUCAUUCAUAUAAUUUUGUUGCCAUAAAUGAAGAAAUAUGAGAUCCUAGAAUUACAUAUUCGAUCACGUUUCUUACUAGUAAUAGAAAAGAGGUUUUAUUUCUACAAAAAAAAAAAAGAGGUUUUAUUAAUAGAAUAAUUACAAAUAUAAUUAUUUGAAAGAGAGAUGAAUAAUAUCUAAAAUAUUAUAAAGUAAUAAUAGGUUAGUCAAACCUAUGAAUAAUGACAGACAUCAAUGAAAUUAAUUACAAAUAUAAUUAUUCUAUCAUUUAUAAUGUUUUUUGUUGUUGCAUUUUUUUUUUAUUGAAUCACCAUUUUAGGUCCAUUAAUUUUCGAUGGCAAACAUUUUUAUUUUUUGUUGUUGCGUUUUUCAUGUUAAUUAAAGUAAUAAUAUCUGAAAUAUUAGUAUAAAAUAAUAAUAGGUUAGUCAAACCUAUGAAUAAUGAUAGACAUCAAUGAAAUUAAUUAUUAAUAAUUAAAAAUAUAAUUAUUCUAUCAUUUGUAACGUUUUUGUUGUUGCAUUUUUUUAUUGAAUUAUCAUUUUAGGUCCAUUAACUACCGAUUGCAGAUAUUAUUCAUCUCUCAUAUUUCUUCAUUUAUGGCAACAAAAUCAUAUGAAUGAAAUCAUAAAAAUAAUUAUGUUUAAUUUCUUAAAAAGGAUUAAAGAAUUAAAUUUAAUUAAGGAAAAUUUAGGUGUAUUUCCUUAUUUAAUUUAAGGUUUGAAAUUCAUCAGCAGUUAACUGCCGAAGUUUUCCUCAGCAGUUAACUGCAGCCGGUUCUUUAAAAUUUCGACAGUUAACUGCCGAGGGACAUUUGAGUAAUUUACUCGUGUUUCUCAGCCAAACCAAAUGUCAACAACAAUACUCAUAUAAAACAAUUAGUAAACCUAGAAAAACAAAUAAAUAAACUAAAUAUUACGGAGGGCUUUAUCGAACCACUUGUUUUGAACUCCCAUUCUAAAAUAUUGUCAUAUUUUCCUGCGGUGACUACUGUUCUUACAAUCAAAUUCACUUCGGUUCUAGAUUCUUCAACCUAUCAAAAUAUGUACAAACAAAAAAUAAAUAAAAAUAGAACAACUAGUUACAAAUAGAUUAAUUAAAUAAUUGAAUUAGUUGGUUGCAGUAAAAACUCUUACGAAUUCAUUAGGAAUGUCAGUUUCAGUGUGACGCCACAUGAUAUUACCAUAUUGUUCAAACAGACAAAUUGCAUUCUUCAAUAGGCUUGGUGUACCAUCAGCCGAGUGAAUGUAUGUAUGUAUGAAUGAACUGAGCAUGUGGUGGACAAUCACGAUUAGGUAUCAAAGACACCGUUGACAGGGCAAAUCCAAACUCUCCAGAAUCAAAGAAAGUCUUAAAGUAAAAUUCUUCGGUUGGGUCUUGAUAAGGCACAAAUAGCUCGGAAAUGUAGCUUUGUAGAGUACACGACGAAACUUGUGUUUCUCUAUAUCGUAAAUAUGUAAGUGAUAUCACUAUACUAGCUCGUACAGUAAAUCUUAUAUGAAAUUUCCAGGUGGCCCAGCUGAACAAUCACACUUUCAGAUAUUAUUUCUCAAGCAAUGAGCGAAACACACACAUAUCUCUUAUUUUUUAAAGUUAAUCCGAACGCAAAAUUUUGCCCUAGAUUUAACCUAACUUCUUUGCUUAGUUUUAUUAUUUUAACCCUAUUUAAUCAACCCUAAUUAAUUACAUCUCUUCUCUUAUUCCUUAAAGUUAACCCGAAUGCAAAAUGUUGCCCUAAAUUUAACCUAACUUUAAUGAUUAAUUAUACUGUAUUAGCCCUAUUUAAUUAACCCUAUUUAAUUUAAUCAAAAUGUUAUUUUCAAAUGCUUCUCAAAUCAAAAACAAUAGAUCACUCCUAAAUCCAAUCCAAUCCUUUUUUGCUCCUUUUUUUUUUAUUAAAAACAAAAGAAAAUCAUCCCCUAUUUUUUUAUGAAACCUAAACUAAACUAAUUACCCUAUUUUUUUAUGAAAAAUAAAAUAAACCUAUUUUUUUGAUUAAAAACAAAAGGAAGUCGUCCCCUAUCUCUUAUUUCUAAAUGUUAACCCGUGACGCAAUAUUAACCCUAGAUUUAACCUAAUUUUUUCGCGUGACUUUACUAUACGAAUCUUAGAUUUAAUUUAUGCAAAAUGUCAUCUCUUAUUUUUAAAUGUUAACUCGUGACGCAAUAUUAACCCUAGAUUUAACCUAAUUUUUUCGUGUGACUUUACUAUAUUAACCCUAGAUUUAAUUUAUGCAAAAUGUCAUCUCUUAUUUCUAAAUGUUAACCCGUGACGUAAUAUUAGCCCUAGAUUUAACAUAUUUUUUCGCGUGACUUUACUAUAUUAACCCUAGAUUUAAUUUAUGCAAAAUGUCAUCUCUAAUUUUAACCUAAUUUUUUUUGCUUGUUCAAAAAAAAAAAAAUUUAACCUAAUUUUUUCCUCCACGCUUUUGCAUUUAAUGUUUAUCUAAAGUAAAAUAAAAUUAUGUUCUCAAUUAUAUGCUGUUUUUUUGGAAAGGAAUAACCGUUAACCCAUCUCGCUAUACUUAACAUAAUCUCUUACUUAUAAAUGUUAACCCGUCUUGAUAUACUUAACCUAUUAUGUUACGUUACGCUAUCAAGGAUGAUGUCAUGGAAAAUUAUGUUAUGGUACAGUACCAACGUCUAUGCUUCUUAAUAUUAUGAAAUACUAUAUGACAAUCAUGAAAUUCAUCGUUACCUAUUACCGUCAAAUAUUACCUUCCAUAAGUCAGUUGCCACAUACGCUAAGUCGGUUGCCACAUACGCAUUGACUUAGUCAAAAUUGAGGGAUGGGACCACUUUCGCAAAAGGGCUAAACUUAAGAGUUAAAUUAUCAAUUUUUUAUAGGGGUCAAAAUCGCAAUAUUUUAAAACAUAAAAGGAGGAAAACUGCAUUUAUGCCUAAUAUAAAUUUAUUUGCAUACGUUCUAAAUAAAUCAUAUUUAGAUCGUUUGAUCAAAAUCAAUGGUCCUGAUUUCAAGUUCUUUAUUUUACUUAGAGAUAGAAAAAGUGGAUCUCGAUUAAAAGAUCGGAUGGUCCACAUAUGUCACAAAAUCCAAAUCCAGUUAAUACCCGUUAGUGUACUAUUUAGUAGAUUUACCAUAUAUAUAUAUGGUAUCAGAUUAUUUCUAACUAUCAUAUCCAGAGAUUUGCGGUAUAUCUUUGUCGUCUAACUAUAUACUCAUGGGAAAUGCUAACUUGUGCCUAAGGGCACAAGUUAAUGAGUCUAAAGUGAAAAUAUUUUGUUAUAAUAAAUGUAUUUAAAUUUAAUUUUUUCAUUUUUAAUUAAUUGAAUGCGCAAAAUUUAAGAUAAUAUUUCUACUUUAGGUUGCAAAUGCUACUUAUCUGCCGAAUAGAAACCCAACAAAUAAGCUUUCAAGGAAUCAAGCCAUAUUAUUUGGAUCAGUUAGCUACAAAUAUGUUCCAAAUCAACUUAGAAUGCAAAUUGGUGACAAAGGAGAACAAAUCAUCUUGGUUGACUCCUUAUAUGUAGACUAUUUGACCUUGUUGAUGAAAUUAAGGAGUCGGGCUAGAAGACAAAAUAUAAGAAUAGAAAUGAUCCAUAGUUAACUAUGACAAUGGUGACAACAAUGUGUCAAGAAGAUAUUAGGGAGCUAGAAACUCUCAAAGACAAAGACUUUAACCUCAAAGGCUACAAGAAUGUGAGAUGGUCUCAAAUAACUAAUGAGCCAAUAAGUUUUGAAUGUCCCAUGAAAUACUCAUGGUAGGUUUAUGCUAUGAAGGAAGAAUUUUAUUCAACUGAGAAAAGUCAAACAUGGGAGCUAGUUGGUUUACCAACCAAAAAUAAAGCAAUAAGUGUGAAGUGGGUGUAUAUAUAAAGUGAAACUAAAUUCAAGUGGAGAAGUGAUCAAUACAAGGCCAGACUUGUAGUUAAAGUAUUCCUACAAAGACCUAGAAUAGACUUUGAUGAAGUUUUUGCACCAAUUGCUAUAAAAUAAUUGAAACUAUAAGGAUGGUAGUUGCUAUUAAAGAUUUGAAACAGGGGCACAUAUACCAAUUGGAUGUGAAAUCAGCAUUCUUUGAAUGGACCUAUUGAUAAGGAGGUAUAUAUGUUUAGCAGACACCAUGAUUUGAGAUAAGAAAUCAAAGAGGGAAAGGUGUACAAUUUGAAUGAGACUCUAAAUUGGCUCAAGCAGUCCCCAAGAAUCAAGAUCAUGGUGUUUAAUUAUGUGAAGAUAAUUUUAAAAAUAGGUUUAAUCAUUUUGUGGUUAUAUGUAGAAUGAUUGUAGAUAAUCUAUUAAUAACUAGAGACGAUUAAUUCAAUUUUAAAGAAUUUAAGAGAAGCAUGAUGAGUAAAUUUCAUAUGGCUGAUUUGCGACAAUUUUCUUAUUUUAUGAGAAUCGAGUUCCAAAAGACAAACUUUGAAAUGCUAGUCCAUCAAGCCAAAUAUGCUAGAGAGAUAUUGAAGAAAUUUGAGAUGGGCAAUUGUUACUCAACUGCCACUCCAGUAGAAACAGACAUACAUUUGGUGAAGGAAAGGUGGAUUCCACUCAAUUCAGAGUGGUGAUGAUAGGAUGCUUGUAGGUGAGCAAAGUUAACCAAAAACCAAUCUGAACCAAUUAACCGAAUCGAACCAUAUUAAAAUUAACCAAACCAUUGCAUUGGUUAACCGAAUUGAACUGUUAUUUGAAGAUGGUUUACUAACCGAACCGAACUUUUAUUAGAUUCAAUUAACUGGUAUUAACAAAACCAUUACAAUUUACAACUCAAUCAAUCAGUUAUCACACAAAACUUCUUUUCACACAAUGACACAAAACGUGAACUGAACCCUUUUCUAAACCCUAAUUUCAAUUUCAAUUUCAAUUUCAAAACCCUAAUUUCUCCUCUUCAGGGACCAGUGAUGUUGAUAUAGAAGCUUUCUUCACCUCACACAAUUCACUCUUCUGCGAUUAAUCCAUGAAAUAGACUAAAAAAAUGCCACGAUUAAUCCAUGAAAUGGCCGGUCUUCACCUCUUCAGAGACCAUUUUUUAGCCAAUUCAUUUUUUUCUGCGAUCUUCACCUCUUCUUCGAACUCUUAUGCGAACUAUUCACCUAAGGUACAAAUUAGUUUAUGGGUAUGAUUUGUUUUGAGUUUUGUUUUUGGUAUUAUUUUUGUUUCUAGGUAUGAUUGAUUUUGGUUUGUGGGCAUGUUUUUGUUUCUGGCAUGUUUGUGUGAUUAUAUGAUGAGUGUUAAUUUGUUAGUGAUUGUUGCAAAGUGACGUGUGAAAUAUUUGGACUCUUAGAAGCUUUUUUUUAGCUCAUUUCUAUAACUUCUAUUCAUUUGUGUUCUCUACUGUGGAGUUUUUUGGUAGGAUGGUGAAUCUUUUGUAACUUUGUUAUUACUGUUGUCCUGUGAAGUCUUGACCAAGAAGAAUGGUAACAUCUUGUGAUGUAAUUGACUGUUAGUAGAGUAACAUCUUGAUUGAAUGGUAAAGUUUGGAGGAAAUCAAAGCUAUGACAGGGUCAGAUUUAAAGCCUUUGCUAAUCAAAUUUAUUGGAACAAAAAAUGCUUGUGAUCACUAAACUAGUUUUAGAUUGAAUCAGUAUGUUUCAAUGGAUCGUGUGUAUCAUCCAUUAGCAAAAUGUUGAUAUUGUGACGUUGCUGCUGAUAAACGUUUUCUAGUUAAAGCUAGGGACAUAUGUCUUUAGAGAAUUUAACUUGAGAUCUUUGUUUUCAAAUAUGUCAUACUAAUUUUCUGCACUAGGGAUAUCACUUCAAUUCAUUGAUUUUGUUCUUCCUCAUGCAUUUAUCGUUGUUAUUAUGGACAAAACAGGGCACAAGUUUUGCAUGCACAUUGGUUGGCUCUAGAGUCUAGAUAGAAUUUAUUAGUAUAACUCGUAAGAAACAACAAGUAUGUUGCUAUAGAUCCUUGUCAGUUUAUAAUAAUAGUUUGUGAAUAUUUUGUGUGAUGGCUUGGCUUCUUAGCUUGUUUACAUUACUAAGAUAACUUAUAUGGAUUUCUUUGUCAAAUCUUGUCUUAGUAUCAUUGUGCAAAGUGAUGAGUUCUUUGUCAAUCUUGUCUUAAUAUAUAUCUUUUUUUUUUUUGUAGAGAUAACAUCUCAAGAAUCAGAUCACUUAGAUGAUAUAAAUUGAAAACCAUCCACUUAAAUCAUAAAGGUAGAUAAAUAUGUUUGGUUAAUAUAUAUCUUUGGUGCAUUAUAGUGUCCCUAGGUUGUCUUGAGCUGUUUCUAUUUUGAAGCUAGUUUGUUUAGUAUUUUGGCCUCUGUCUUUAGUGUAAGAUGUUGUCUUGGGCAUUAUAGUGUCCUUAUAGCAUACGACCAUUUGGGUUUUGUGGAAGGCGAGGAAUGAGAGAAUUAAUACUAAACAAAUGAGAGAAUUUCAGCUGUUUGGUGUAGUGGUAGUGCUGCCACUGUGUUGGGGACAGGUUUGAGUGUUGAUCUGCAACAACUUGUUUUUCAGAUGCUGUUUUGGUGUAGGCUGCUGCUGUCACGGUUCUGCAGGGGGAAUUUUUGAUUUAAUCGUACAUUUAUAUUGCUUUUGGCUCUGUCAAUUAAAUUAAUCUGUGUUAUCAUCCUUGUUGCUGGUUGAUGUUGAGGUAUUGAUGAAUGGUCUGGUCAAUAUGCUCCACAUUUGUGGUACUAAUGAUAUAAGAGUCUCUUACUACUAUGAAAAUGAAAUAUAUUUGAUGUUUAAUCCCAUAAAUUUUGUUUGAUCCCUCUACUUCUAGCUGCAGCAGUACAGUUAAUCUCAUAAUAUAUUUGAUGUGUAAAAUACUAAUUCACAUCAAUUUAUGUCUUUUUGUUUUGUAGGUCAAUACCAUAUGAAUUCAUAAAGACAAAGAUCUAUUCGGACUUCAAAGUUGAAGUUAUUAGCUACUUGUUGAGAGAAGAUGUCAGUUAUUAUAAACAUUUAGCUUUAUUUUGUUUUGCUAUUGUAAUAGUUUUAUUUGGAAGGAUGUUGACCCUAUUUACUUAUGCAAGUAUGAUGUAUUGAGAGUAAGUAAGGAAUGAUUGUGCAUCUUUAUACUUCAAACUGAAGUUGAUUUUAUUGUUACUUAAGGAUUAAGCUCUUGUGAAUUAUGUGCUCUUAUGUUGAUGUCAACUGUACAAAAGAGAUACUCUAUUGCAUUUUUUGAAAUUUAUCAAUGGAUUGCACCUAAUAAUUUAGGGGGACUAAUACCUCAAAUUCGUCCUUGAAUUUUCAAAAAUCAGCCAAAUUUAUCCCUGAAUUUUGCAAAAUAUAUAUUUAGUUCCUGAAUUUUAUAGACGUCCAUCAAAAUGGUCCCUUCGUCCAAAAGCUCUGUUGGUGGUGAUGAUGUGUCCUCUUGCAUGUUGUGUUGUCAUGUACAUGUGUUAACAAGGCAGCCACGUGUACAAGGACUAAAUUGAUGGAAAUGGUAAAAAUUGUAGUGUUAACUUUUCAGUGUCAUUUUUUUGUGUUUCCAAUUGCUUUUGUGUUUCUAACUUCUCCAAUGGCCACCAUGUUCUAACAUCUGUAAGUUGUAUUUACAAACUUUCCUAUAGUUGCUCAAUCGAUAAUCAUGACAAUAUCAUAACUUUCCACUUUAGUAGAUCAUGCUCAACCAUAAAAACAAAUAGUGCAGUUUAUCAAGGAAUAGUAGCAACACGAAGGCACGGUAGUCAGUAAAGCAAAAAUCAACUCGCAAAAUAAACCUGCCAUUCAUUCAUUCAUUCAACAUACAACAAACAAAAACAAACAAACAAACAAACAUUUAUUCAUGGUUCCACCACCAAUGCAUAUAAAUUGCACAGACUAGCUAGUUUUACUUGGAGCAACCAGGCCAUGCAACAUCUCUUGGAGAAAGUGUUUUAAGGACUGGAUUUCUCUCAAAGAAAUUCGUUGGUCUCAGCUCAAAUGAAGUGCUCAAUAGUGGCAUUAUUGGGAAAUCUUCUUGUGCUGGAACAUGAUGAAUUCCAACUACAUGCCACAUCACAAUGUCCUUGUUCACAAUGUCUCUAUUCCUGCAAAAAUUCCAAAUUAAUUAGUAUAAUAAUCAACUUACCAAGAUCAAUUAUUAGCAAAUGUACAAAUCAAAUAAAAAAAAUCAUACUUUUUGGUCCAAACAGCUAAUGUGUCUUCUCCACGGCUAUGAUCAACAUAUAGUCCACCAGCCCAUUUUUCAGUUCUAUUAUAAGGUGUGACCCAAACAUUAUAAUUAGUAAAUGCACCACGUAUUUGUGGAUAAUCAUCUUCGGUUAGAAGUGGAUGAGCUGGAAUUGCUGGGAUCAAACGGUAUCCGACGUCGUUUCCAACGAUAGUUUUUUUGUUUGGAUUGACAAUUGCAAGUUCACCUGGGGCAAGCCCUAGAGUAAUUUUUGCAUCUGAUUCAGUCUUAGCAAUUUGAGUCUCAGUGGUCCAAUAACUCUUUCUCUUUGAACUUCCAUCGGUGAUUUUUACGGUUUUUAAACUUGUUUUCUCAAAUGAAUUUUGAACACCGUCGAUAUCAAAAUCAAGAUAGUACAUGUAGAAAUGGUCAUGGUAAAUACCAAUGCUGUUUGCUGAUACCAAUUUGCCAUGUAAAUCUUCUUUAAUCUCAUCCUUGUGCUUGAUAUUUGUUCCCUUGAUUUCCAAUAUACCCGACAGUGCUAUCUGUGUACAUACAUACAUACAUACAUAAAUUUUGAAAAAUCAAUUAGAGUUAUUUCAGGCCAAGGACAUGACAAUUGACAAGUGAAGUGGGACAGUUGUUGUCUUGGCGGUAUAUGCUAAAUAUAGUAAUACACAUGUUUUCUUUUUUCUUUCAGUUUAAAUAAAAAUAGUAAGUAACCUGUAACCCAAAGUGAAGUGGGACUUUUUUUUUACAAUAAACCAAAAGAGACUUUCAAAUCGUUUAAAUAAAUUUGUCAGCUAUCCAGCAAGGAAGUUACACACCUAGGACAAAUUUUAAAUUCAGACUUAACAUUUAAUUUGUCCAAUGCUUAAUUUGUUAAAGUAAGUUUUGACUUUUCAAAGGUUUGUUAUGACUUGUUAGUUGAUUUAAAAACUCAUUUAAUAUUAUUGUGUCUAAGCAAAUAGUAUAUGUUUAAAUCGACUAACAAACAAAUAGACCAAUAAAACAAAUUGGAUUCUCUUUUGUUAUUUAACAAGACAUUUUAGAAAAUUUGAAUAUGUGAUAUCAUAUUUUAAUUUAAAUUUAAAUUUAUGCAAGUCGAAUUAAAUAUCUAGAUCCUUGCCUUAAGAAAAUCCAAAAAUACCAAGAGACAAGAUAUAUAAUUGCACAGUGUUUUAGUGACCCGCUUGGUAAAUUCCCUCGAAGAUUGGAAAUGAAAUGAACGUGUUUAUGAAGAACCAUAUCUUAUCUCUUUUCAAAAAAAGAAAAUCUUAUCUUCCAGUAACACUCUACGAAUUUUUUUAUAUGUAUUAUUUUAUUACAAAAUCUGUUUUGUAAUUAUUAAUAUAGUAAAUACUCCAUAUUACUUACAUUUAAUUGUGAGAUCACUUACACUUACGUAUAAUUAUCUAUAUAAAACAUUUAGUAAACAUGGAGUAACAAAUAAACAAAACUAAAUACUUACAGCAGGCUUGAUAGAACCACUUGCUUUGAACUCCCAAUCUAAAACAUUGUCGUAGUUUCCCACGGUGACUACUGUUCUUACAAUCAAAUUCACUUCGGUUCUAGAUUCUUCGACCUGUCAGUAGAUGUACAAACAAAAAAUCAAUAAAUAAAUAAAAAUAGAAUAAUUAGUUAAAUUAGUUGGUUGCAGGAAAAACUCUUACGAAUUCAUUAGGAAUGCCAGUUUCAGUGUGACGCCACAUGAUAUUACCAUAUUGUUCAAACACACAAAUUGCAUUCUUCAAUAGGCUUGGUGUACCAUCAGCCGAGUGAAUGUAUGUAUCAAUGAACUGAGCAUGUGGUGGACAAUCACGAUUAGGUAUCAAAGACACCGUUGACAGACCAAAUCCAAACUCUCCAGAAUCAAAGAAAGUCUUAAAGUAAAACUCUUCGGUUGGGUCUUGAUAAGGCACAAAUAGCUCGGAAAUGUAGCCUUUGUAGAGUACACGGCGAGACUUAUGUUUCUCUAGAUCGUAAAUAGAUGCAAGUGAUAUCACUAUACCAGCUCGUACAUCAAAUCCUAUAUGAAACUUCCAGUUGGCCCAGCUGAAAAAUCAUACGCAGGUAUUAUUUCUCAAAUAAUUGGACGAAAUACAUACAAAUCGAUAUUUUAAAUGGGCAAGAAUAAAGCUAGUAACUUAUUCCCUAAAAAAAUUCAAGUUAGUAACUUAUUACGCAAAUUGAAUAUUAUUUUUAGAAAAUAUGUAAAUUGAAUCUUCCCUAUCAAUACUCCUUUUAAUCAUUUUAAUAAGAGACAAUAGGUCAACAAAAAUUGAUAUAUAAUUUUGUCUAUAUUUUGAACUAAAUACAUCAAUUUUUGUUGACUCAUUUAUCUCUUAUAAAAAGGACUAGAAGGAGUACUAAAUAAUUAAUGCAUAUAUGUAAACAAAAAAAAAUGUAUAUGCCAUUGGAGAAGUUAUACAAAUCUAUCUGUAUACAUUUUCAAUAAAUCACAUUUAGAUCGUCUGAUAAAAAUCAAUUUCAAGUUUUUUAUUUUAUUUAGAGAUAGAAAAACUGGAUCUCAAUUAAAAGAUUAGAUGGUCCACAUCCACAUAUGUCACAAAAUCCAAAUCCAGUUAAUACCCAUCCGUGUACUAUUUAGUAGAUUUACCAAUUAAGAAUAAGGAAACCAUUGUAAUAUAAAUAAAGGAAACAGACACCCAAAAAAGGAAAGUAAAGGAUCAAGAACAUUAUUACCUAACACUGUGACCAUUGAUCUGAAAGCCAGGACCUUGAGGUUGAUAACUAGCAAGACUAUGCUGUUUUGGUCCAAAUGGUGGACUUUGUUUUGAAACCCUGUAAUCAGUAUUCUCAGCAGUAGGCACUGCUUCAACAUCUCUAUCAUGGUACUCAACAAUUUUCAUUAGACUAAGAUCAGCCACCAUGGUGAUUCCAGUAAUAGGCCUAACAUAUAUAUUAACAGUACUUUCUUUCAUAAAACAGUCAACUCUCACAGUCCUUCUAUUCUCUUUUUCUCCAAACCAUCCCAUAGUGAAACUAGAACAAACCACCUCAGAGAGAUUCAAACCUCUCUUUUGCACUGAGGCAAUAAAAGGAGGAUAUUUCUUUGGAAGUUCUAUUGCAAUGGCUUGUUCAUCAACGGUUAGUGUAGGGAAACCAUUCCCUUUGUAAACAUUGUCAUAGACAAUUCUCUUCAACCUUAAAUCUAUUAGUAUCUCAUGGUUUUGGCCAUUGAUGAUAGCAAUGAUAAAGGCUUUACGAGGGAUAGUUAUAACACUUGGUUUCAAAGUUUCCCAUUUGAGAAUAGCAUCUUUUUCAGGGUCAUCAAGACCAAUAUAGUGGAAAGAUACUGUGUUCUUUGAGGUGGGAUAUUUGUUAUGGACUAGGGUUUGGACAGUCAGAAACUCUUCUUUGGUUAAAGGAUCAAGUGGAUGUUGAAAAUGCAAUGGUGUAACAGAGAACACUGAUUGGAAUGAGAGGAGUGUGAGUGCAGAGAAAAGAACAAGUUUCAUGGUGGUGGAAAAAGCCAUGGUGAGCUAUAACAAGCUUCACUAUGUCUUGGUGUUUGUUGUGUGAA